UAGGGAAUCUUCGGCAAUGGGGGGAACCCUGACCGAGCAACGCCGCGUGAGUGAAGAAGGUUUUCGGAUCGUAAAGCUCUGUUGUUAAGGAAGAACGAGUGUGAGAAUGGAAAGUUCAUGCUGUGACGGUACUUAACCAGAAAGGGACGGCUAACUACGUGCCAGCAGCCGCGGUAAUACGUAGGUCCCGAGCGUUGUCCGGAUUUAUUGGGCGUAAAGCGAGCGCAGGCGGUUAGAAAAGUCUGAAGUGAAAGGCAGUGGCUCAACCAUUGUAGGCUUUGGAAACUGUUUGACUUGAGUGCAGAAGAGGAGAGUGGAAUUCCAUGUGUAGCGGUGAAAUGCGUAGAUAUAUGGAGGAACACCGGUGGCGAAAGCGGCUCUCUGGUCUGUAACUGACGCUGAGGCUCGAAAGCGUGGGGAGCGAACAGG
rnacentral:rRNA from 1 species